rnacentral:rRNA from 1 species
CCUACGGGUGGCUGCAGUGGGGAAUAUUGGACAAUGGGGGGAACCCUGAUCCAGCCAUGCCGCGUGUGUGAAGAAGGCCCUCGGGUUGUAAAGCACCUUCAGUGAGGAAGAACGCCUGGUGGUUAAUACCCAUCAGGAAAGACAUCACUCACAGAAGAAGCACCGGCUAACUCCGUGCCAGCAGCCGCGGUAAUACGGAGGGUGCGAGCGUUAAUCGGAAUUACUGGGCGUAAAGCGCGCGUAGGUGGCUUGAUAAGCCGGUUGUGAAAGCCCCGGGCUCAACCUGGGAACGGCAUCCGGAACUGUCAAGCUAGAGUGCAGGAGAGGAAGGUAGAAUUCCCGGUGUAGCGGUGAAAUGCGUAGAGAUCGGGAGGAAUACCAGUGGCGAAGGCGGCCUUCUGGACUGACACUGACACUGAGGUGCGAAAGCGUGGGUAGCAAACAGGAUUAGAUACCCUAGUAGUC